CCUACGGGGUGCAGCAGUAGGGAAUAUUGCUCAAUGGGGGAAACCCUGAAGCAGCAACGCCGCGUGGAGGAUGAAGGUUUUCGGAUUGUAAACUCCUUUUGUUAGAGAAGAUAAUGACGGUAUCUAACGAAUAAGCACCGGCUAACUCCGUGCCAGCAGCCGCGGUAAUACGGAGGGUGCAAGCGUUACUCGGAAUCACUGGGCGUAAAGAGCGCGUAGGCGGGAUAGCAAGUCAGAUGUGAAAUCCUAGGGCUUAACCAUAGAACUGCAUUUGAAACUGUUAUUCUAGAGUAUGGGAGAGGUAGGUGGAAUUCUUGGUGUAGGGGUAAAAUCCGUAGAGAUCAAGAGGAAUACUCAUUGCGAAGGCGACCUGCUAGAACAUAACUGACGCUGAUGCGCGAAAGCGUGGGGAGCAAACAGGAUUAGAUACCCCUGUAGUC
rnacentral:rRNA from 1 species